GCAAAGUUUAGAGUCAGCAUACAGUUUUUUGCUGCUUCUCCUUCCCAAACUUAUAAUUCUGGGCAGUGGUUCAGAACUCAGGACCCCUCUGAAGCUAGAGAUGCUUUUUCUGCUUAGGGGGACUCCUGAUUCUUUAGCUUCAGCUUGACCAGAUGAAUGUGAUGGUGCUGGUA